CACGACGUGAUGGAUCUCCCAAGAAUGGCCCGGUAGUCUGUCAAAGCCGUGAGCAGCCGGCGACGACCGUCACGCACGUUUUGACAGCCGCCUAACACUUGCCUGCUCAUUUCGAGCGCAUUUGGGUAAGCAUGGACAAGAUCUCGUCGAACAACAUUUACACGGUUUCGGCUAAUCAGCAAGCACAUCCGGGACCUCUACCAUCCAGCCACACAAACAUCACAUCGACCGUCAACCAUCAGGCGGGCAUCCAUCAGGUGGCCAACCGAGCAACGCUCCAGUAUCAGCCACAGCUGAUGUCGACGAUUGGAGCGAACACGAGAAGCCAACCGGUCGCCGAGAUGAUACAACAACAGCAGAGGCUACUGUACGGAUCGUCGACGGUCGGCAACAGCAUCCAACACGCCGGCAAACUCUUCAACAUGCAGCCGAGC